AUCGUUGGAGCUUUGCAGCCAGGAAGCAAGCUAAGCAUAGCUCGAGCUAAGGGUAUAAGCAAAGCAAAGCAUGGCGAAGAGUGGUCUCCUCCCUCUCACCAUCCUCCUCCUCGCCGUCGCCACCGCCCUCCACGGCGCCGAUCGUGUCACGGCCGUGCCGUCCUUGGAGGGCUUGGAAGCCGCCGGGGAGGGCUUGGCCGAGCCCAUCAAGAAGGUCGUCGGUGGUGCCGUUGCUACCGGCGUCGAAUCUGUCGGCCGGAAGAGGCCGGCGAUGAAGGAUUUCGCCGCCGGCGUCAAGGCUGGCAGAAAAUUCCACAAGGGCUUCAAAUCCGGCGCCGCCGCAUGGGCAAUGUUGGCGCCGCUUCCGCCACCGUACUAAGUCUUCCCAAGUAACUAAAGUAGCGCCGAUCGAUACCCGCCGUAUAUACAUCGUGUACACUGCUAGCUUGUGUGAUGCAAUAUAUAAAUAAAAUUGUAUUAACAAACAGAAAAAGGAAAAAGAAAGAGGGAAACGCUGCUGCCGUAGCUGUGUCCCUUUUUGUGUUUUGUCGA